UCGAGAAUCUUUCGCAAUGGGCGAAAGCCUGACGAAGCGACGCUGCGUGAGCGAUGAAGGCCUUCGGGUUGUAAAGCUCUUUCGUGCAAGAACAAGGAAGGGACGUGAAUAACGUUCCGACUUGAGGGUACUGCGUAAAGAAGCACCGGCUAACUCCGUGCCAGCAGCCGCGGUAAUACGGAGGGUGCAAGCGUUAAUCGGAAUUACUGGGCGUAAAGCGUGCGUAGGCGGUACAGUCAGUCAGAUGUGAAAUCCCUGGGCUUAACCUAGGAACUGCAUUUGAUACUACUGAACUAGAGUAUGGUAGAGGGAGGUGGAAUUCCGGGUGUAGCGGUGAAAUGCGUAGAUAUCCGGAGGAACACCAGUGGCGAAGGCGGCCUCCUGGGCCAAUACUGACGCUGAGGUACGAAAGCGUGGGGAGCAAACAGG
rnacentral:rRNA from 1 species